UUUAACAAAAACAUCGCUCCUUGGUUGUGAUAGUAUAAGGAGUCGGACCUGCCCGGGACCUACGGGUUUAAACGGCCGCGGUACACUGACCGUGCAAAGGUAGCACAAUCACUUGCCUUUUAAUUGGAGGCUGGUAUGAAUGGUUUGACGAGGGCUGAGCUGUCUCUCCUGGAAUAUUUAAAAAUUAACUUCUAAGUGAAAAGGCUUAGAUUUAGCUGAGGGACGAGAAGACCCUGUUGAGCUUUAGUGUGGAAUAAAGGGGUUGUUUCUAUUAGAAUAGAGGAUUUUAAAUUUAUUCUUACAUCUUUAGUUGGGGUGACUAGGGAACAUGAAAAGCUUCUCUGUUAAUUUGUAGAAUUUAGGUUUACUAACAAGUGAUCCAGCAUUGCUGAUUAUCGGAAAAAGUUACCACAGGGAUAACAGCGUAAUCUUUCUGGAGAGUUCACAUUGAAAGAAGGGUUUGCGACCUCGAUGUUGGAUUAAGGUGUCCUGAGGGUGUAGCAGCUUUCGUUGGUUGGUCUGUUCGACCAUUAAAACCUUACGUGAUCUGAGUUCA
rnacentral:rRNA from 1 species